rnacentral:rRNA from 1 species
UACAGGGGUCUCGAGCGUUAAUCGGAAUCACUGGGCUUAAAGGGUGCGUAGGCGGACCAGUAAGCGUUUUGUGAAAUCCCCCGGCUCAACCGGGGAAUUGCAGGGCGAACUGCUGGUCUAGAGGGAACUAGAGGCCGGUAGAACGAUUGGUGGAGCGGUGGAAUGCGUAGAUAUCAAUCGGAAUGCCUAAAGUGAAGACAGCCGGCUGGGGUUUUCCUGACGCUGAGGCACGAAAGCGUGGGGAGCAAACCGG